rnacentral:rRNA from 1 species
UGCAGAGGGUGCGAGCGUUGUUCGGAAUUAUUGGGCGUAAAGGGCGCGUAGGCGGUGCGGUAAGUCACCUGUGAAAUCUCCUGGCUCAACUGGGAGCUUGCAGGCGAAACUGCCGUGCUGGAGUGUGGGAGAGGUGCGUGGAAUUCCUGGUGUAGCGGUGAAAUGCGUAGAUAUCAGGAGGAACACCUGUGGCGAAAGCGGCGCACUGGACCACAACUGACGCUGAGGCGCGAAAGCUAGGGGAGCAAACAGG